AGUAGGAAAUGUUUGACAGGCAAACGGUACAUUAAAAUCCCAUAAAUAUCAAUUUAAUGAAUAGAUUUUUCCAUCAAGGCUUUGUGACAACUGCCAUGUAGCUUCUCAUUGGCGGAUGGAACAAGGAUUCUCCAUCGUCAUCAGAGAUGCUACACAUGGCAAAACACUGCUUGUGAUGAAUUGUUGACUCCAAAUAUUAGACCCAACUCAUCCACAGUCAUUGAGGUGUGCAAAGCUCGAAAUAACUAGAAAGGUGUAUUCUAUUGCCUUCACAACAUACUGCGCAUGAAUGGUAUGGAUAUGGAACGACCACGGAAACUGCCUCGAACAAUAAAAUAUUUUGUAACGGUUACAUAAAAUGGGUGAGUGAAAAGCAACAACGGAUUGGCCUUGAAAAGUAGGUAAUGGUGAGAAGCAUAGGUAGAAAAAGAAAAAAGCAGCGGUUUUUCAUUUUCCAGGAAUAAAAUUAGAGUUUUGGAAAAAAAUUAUGA